GAGCAAGGCCAGGGAUCGAACCCGCAACCCCAUGGUUCCUGGUCGGAUUCGUUAACCACUGAGCCACGACAGGAACUCCAAGCCAUGCAUUUUUAUUUGGCGAUAACUGUUGCAAAACAUUGGCACUCUGCAGAAAGGAACAACAUUUUUAAAACCUGAUCCCUCACUAAUGCUGCUAAAAUUAUAUAUCACAUUCGUAACAAAUACCAAAAUAAAAUAUAAAAUCUUAGCUUUGGUUUCUUUCAUUUUUUUAAUUUAAAAGGACAUUUUAAGAACAUUUUGCAUUAUUUAACUCAAAAGAAAUACAUUGAAAAUUCUGAAUGCAUUUGACCACAGGUAGAAUACGAAAAGAUUAAGUAAAAAAGCUCAAAAUUUCCAUAUACACAUAUAACCCAAGAAAACCAAAAAGAAACAGAUAAGGAACACAGAAAAGCCAGGUGAGCAGACACUCCCUUGUUAUGACAAAGAAACAAAGGUUUUUCCCUUGGAUCAGUGGAUGAACUACCGACUUGGUCAAUUUCAGCCCGAAAAGAUUCUUCAGACUCCUGUAAAAUAAAGUUGCUGUUUACAUUGUAGGGACAGAGAGAAGGGCAGGAAAAGCUAGUGAUUUGCUCCCCACAGUGCCCGGUCUCUGCAUAGACUUUCCAUCACUUAAUUCACCUUUCAAGUGCCUUCAGGUUCCCUACCUUAAACAGUCCUAUCCUGAGAUGAAAUUCCCCAAAGCAGAUCGAAAGCAGUCAUCCAAGACCCCAGCGUCCACAAAGACACCUGUUCCUCUGAAUUACCCAUCUCAGUAAAGAUCACUCAGGGCCACCUCAUUGCUCAAGCCAGAAACGUGGAGUUUGUCCUGGAUUCUAGCCACCCUCACUCCCCACGUUCAACCCACCACCAGCCCUGCCUUCUCCAAUCAGUAUAAGGCCUGCCAAUUUCCAGUCCAAGUCAUCAGCAUCUCUAACCAGCCAACUACCUACCACAGUUCCCUAAUUUUUUUAACCGAUGGCUGGUCCAUUCUCCAGGGUGAUAAAUUUCAAAUCUGGCCAGGCUAUUUCUCAGCAUAAAAAUCUUUUCCUCGGAGUUCCCAUUGUAGUGCAGCAGAAAUGAAUCAGACUAGUAACCAUGAGGCUGCAGGUUCGAUCCCUGGCCUCACUCAGUAGGUUAAGAUGAUACAGGGUUUGCUGGAGCUUCCUGGUUUGAGGAAACAUUUUCUAGAAAGGAGACUGAUUCACGUAUGUCUGCAAAGUGCUUUCUCAUGCUGGUCCUAUUUGGUUUUGCAACCUACAACAUUCUGGAUGAUUCUGUUGUCUGUGAUUGACGAUGAGGCCCAGCCCCAGGGUCUUCCCCCCUUCUCCCUGGUCAGCCAACCUCAGAAACGUCCAUGCCACCUGGCCCGGUCCCUCCCUUCUCUCACAUUUAAUGAGCCUCCAAUUGGAAUCAGGUGUAUGGAUGACCUGGGGAAUUCUUUGCCUUGUUGAGGCAAAUGUAAAUGAAGAUACAGGAUCUGUAACAGGCAUAACCCAAAUACAAAAAUCCUGCUGUCAAAAACAAUCACUUUUCUCACCCGAUUCCCAAAGAGUUCAACCACCUGCUUCCCUCUGCCUUCUGGUUCAUCAGGACAAGGCCCAGAAUUCUCCAGAACUCCUCGGGGGCACCAGAGGAGGAGUUUCUACAGACGAAGUUCAAGUCUCCCAACCUUCCUCUCCCGGAGGCAGUGCCUCCCUCCUUUCAGGAAGCGAUCUCUUUUCCAUUUGACUUUCCAUAAAGAAGCUGGCGUUUUAUUUUUCCUUGGCUUCCAAUCUCUGCUUUGGACAGUGCCGUAAAAUUCCUCAGUGAUUUAUGGCCUGUUUUUCCUUUAAAGUGGAAAAGCACUAAUCCCUCACAGACAGGGGAGAACAGCGUUUCAAAUGUGAGGUAAUCUAGAAAUCCGUCCAUUCAGCAUAGAUGAGUUGGGGCCUGACACAUUGCUGAAGGUUUAUGUGGAGACCCUAGCCCUUGACGUGGGCUCAGUAAUACCCUGGUCGCAAGUCAGUACCUGGUUUGAAAGAUUCUUCUUGGCCAAAAAGCUCAUUGUCACCUGUCCCUGACAUC
ensembl:lncRNA